rnacentral:rRNA from 2 species
AAUGCUAAAAGAAUGGAAAUUUAAAAAAAAACUUUUUUAAAAAUAAAAAUUGAAUUUUUUUUAAUUUGUGCAAAAACAAUUAUUAUUAUUAAAGACAAGAAGACCCUAAGAAUUUAUGAUUUUGUAAUUAAAAAAAUUUUUUUUAAAAAAUCUUGAUUGGGGCGAUCAAAAAAUAUUAAUAACUUUUUAAAUUUAAAUUGAUCUAUUAUUAAUAAACUAAUGAAUUAAAUACUCUAGGGAUAACAGCGU